rnacentral:rRNA from 1 species
CCUACGGGCGGCUGCAGUGGGGAAUAUUGCACAAUGGGCGCAAGCCUGAUGCAGCCAUGCCGCGUGUGUGAAGAAGGCCUUCGGGUUGUAAAGCACUUUCAGCGGGGAGGAAGGCGUUAAGGUUAAUAACCUUGGCGAUUGACGUUACCCGCAGAAGAAGCACCGGCUAACUCCGUGCCAGCAGCCGCGGUAAUACGGAGGGUGCAAGCGUUAAUCGGAAUUACUGGGCGUAAAGCGCACGCAGGCGGUCUGUCAAGUCGGAUGUGAAAUCCCCGGGCUCAACCUGGGAACUGCAUUCGAAACUGGCAGGCUAGAGUCUUGUAGAGGGGGGUAGAAUUCCAGGUGUAGCGGUGAAAUGCGUAGAGAUCUGGAGGAAUACCGGUGGCGAAGGCGGCCCCCUGGACAAAGACUGACGCUCAGGUGCGAGAGCGUGGGGAGCAAACAGGAUUAGAUACCCCAGUAGUC